GACGAACGCUGGCGGCGUGCUUAACACAUGCAAGUCGAACGGAAAGGCCCUGCUUUUGUGGGGUGCUCGAGUGGCGAACGGGUGAGUAACACGUGAGUAACCUGCCCUUGACUUUGGGAUAACUUCAGGAGACUGGGGCUAAUACCGGAUAGGAGCUCCUGCUGCAUGGUGGGGGUUGGAAAGUUUCGGCGGUUGGGGAUGGACUCGCGGCUUAUCAGCUUGUUGGUGGGGUAGUGGCUUACCAAGGCUUUGACGGGUAGCCGGCCUGAGAGGGUGACCGGCCACAUUGGGACUGAGAUACGGCCCAGACUCCUACGGGAGGCAGCAGUGGGGAAUAUUGCACAAUGGGCGGAAGCCCGAUGCAGCAACGCCGCGUGCGGGAUGACGGCCUUCGGGUUGUAAACCGCUUUCGCCUGUGACGAAGCGUGAGUGACGGUAAUGGGUAAAGAAGCACCGGCUAACUACGUG
rnacentral:rRNA from 1 species